rnacentral:rRNA from 1 species
UACGUAGGGCGCAAGCGUUAUCCGGAAUUAUUGGGCGUAAAGAGCUCGUAGGUGGUUUGUCGCGUUGUUCGUGAAAACUCACAGCUCAACUGUGGGCGUGCGGGCGAUACGGGCAGACUUGAGUACUGCAGGGGAGACUGGAAUUCCUGGUGUAGCGGUGGAAUGCGCAGAUAUCAGGAGGAACACCGGUGGCGAAGGCGGGUCUCUGGGCAGUAACUGACGCUGGAGGAGCGAAAGCGUGGGGAGCGAACAGG